UAAAGGUCGACUGAACAUGAAUUAUAUUAUACAAUUUAAAGCGCAUUUCUGUUUAUGCACGCGAACCCGUCUAACGUUAUUGUUAUUUCGCAGUUAUAUAAAGUAGCAAAUUAUCGUUCCUGAAUAGGUGGCGCCGUGGUAGCCGAACCUGUACUUCAACUUCCGGUUUCUGCACUGUGCAACUAUUACAGUUGCAUUUUUAAUUAACGAUGCCAAGUACUUGUUGUUGUGUACCUGGAUGUCAUUUAAGAGGAGGACAUGCAUUUCCAAAUGACUUAAAAAGAAGGAAAAGUUGGAUCAACGCCAUGGCCCAUACGCAGAUUGGACGAGAACACGAUGAAAUCGUGGAGUCCAUCUCAAUCAGCUGUUGUUUGCAAGGCACAUUUUACUGAAAAAGACUACGUGCAGGAAACUGUUCAUGGGCACAAACCCACCAUACAGAGACUUAAGUCUACUGCCAAUCCCAGCCUAUUUCCUGGACCAAGCAAGAGACUGAAUCGUCCGCAAAAAGAAAAAUCAGGGCAGUUUCCUGUGAAAACAAAAGAACUAAACUUGAUGAAUAUUGUAGUAGAAAUCUAGAGGAAAGUUUUGAUUGUAAAGUUGGUUUUCCUGAAGAAGUAAUUCAUUCUGCAGACAGGAUUUAUGACUGUCCACCACCAACUGCCGAGCUAAUGUUGAGCUUCACAGAUGGAAUUACGCAAACACCAUCAAUGCCUAUAUUUUCAGCAGAGAAUUUUGAAAUGAAGACACGUGACACAGCCAUGCAUUUUUAUACCGGUUUAGAGUUGUAUACUAAAUUUUUAUUUGUUUUGACCACACUUGGUCCAACAGCACAUUGUUUGAGAUACAUAUAUUUUCAAAUUGAUAGGGUGUCAUUUGAAAAUCAGUUUUUUUAUGACUUUGAUGAAAUUGAUGCAUUAUACAACCAACUUUGAACUGUCUAGAUUCUAGAUUGAAACUAGUGUUAAGAAUAUUGUGUAAACAUGGAUUGUUUUUAUGUCUAAACAGUGGCGUGAGGCUAACACUUGGCCAUUUAGUGGUUUAGUCAGGUAUUUUUCGCCAUCCAACUUAGAAUUAAAGUUUCCUACAACUUGGAUUAUUAUUGACAGCACAGAAUAUCCCGUUAUAAAACCUAAAGCUCCUAGAGCUCAGGCAACCUUUUCAUCAUAUAAAAACAGAAACACUGAAAAUACUUGUAUGUUCGACACCUGGUGGUUUAGUCAACUAUGUCUCUAAUGCAUAUGUUGGUUGUACCAGUGACUGUGAAAUAGUUGAAAGAUGUAGAAUAGUUCAAUUAUGUGAUCCAGGUGACAGUGUGAUGGCAGACAAAGGUUUAAUGUGAAAGAUUUGUUUGCUCACUUUCUUCAAAAAAAGAAACAGAAUUAGUUCCAAAACUCUUAUACGGGAUAGAAAAGUCUCCAAUUAACACGUGCACAUAGAGCUAAUUAUUGGACUUUGCAAAACAUACAAAAUUCUAAUAAAUCCUAUGAAUGGAACUGAAACAAAACUUUCAUCUGAAAUAACAUUUAGUUGUUUUAUGUUGUUUAAUUUUAGAACUUGUAUUGUGCCAAAGGAUGCAUAAAUAAAAGUGACGCAAUGAA